UACGAAGGUGGCAAGCGUUGUUCGGAUUUACUGGGCGUACAGGGAGCGUAGGCGGUUGGAUAAGCCCUCCGUGAAAUCUCCAGGCUUAACCCGGAAAGUGCAGAGGGGACUGUUCAGCUAGAGGAUGGGAGAGGAGCGCGGAAUUCCCGGUGUAGCGGUGAAAUGCGUAGAGAUCGGGAGGAAUACCGAUGGCGAAGGCAGGUCUCUGGGCUAACACUGACGCUCAUGCACGAAAGCGUGGGGAGCAAACAGG
rnacentral:rRNA from 1 species